rnacentral:lncRNA from 1 species
AAGGGACUGAAACCAUAAGCCAUAGCAACAUAUCAGCAAUACAGACUGAGAUGAGACAGCAGUACAGUUUUAUUAUUCACUCUGGCCUAUUAUUAGCUAUGCUGAUGAAACUUUAUGAAACAUGCGAAAAAGCAGUUUGAAGCAACAGGUAGCAAGCAACAGCCAAGGCUGUCCUCCAGGACCUGUGGUGUUCACCUCUGGCUAUAAGCAGCCUCAUUGGUGAACACUAGCAUGUAUCUUCGCAUGUACAUUAGAUGCUGUAAAGUGAAACAUGGUGGGACGCUCUGCAGCCUACAUGCUGGCAACAUACAGAAGGCAUUCAGAUAACAGAGCGCUCAGAGGGCUGCAAACCACUGGGACAGGAAGAAGAGAUAAUAUCUCAAGGGUUAGAGAAAGAGACCCAGGUUAGUGUUAGAUAGAAAGGUUCGUGAAACAGCUGUCAUAAAGACUCAGGGUUCUGAGUUCUGGAUGUAAGACUAUAAAUGUCAGUGAGAUAGGUCAGACUGGAAGAAAAACAUAUGUUGGAGAAGAGAAAGAAAAAUAAGUGGAUAGUGGAUGUCAUAGUAUCCACCCUUCAAGACUAAAGUCCUCAUUCUCCCAACUGCUGGGACUGGUGACUACUGAAGUCUC